rnacentral:tRNA from 1 species
GGGGCUAUAGCUCAGCUGGGAGAGCGCCUGCUUUGCACGCAGGAGGUCAGGAGUUCGAUCCUCCUUAGCUCCACCA